UCUGGUUGAUCCUGCCGGACCCUACUGCUAUCANAGUGGGAUUAAGCCAUGCGAGUCGACGUNNCAAUGCGUGGCGAACGGCUCAGUAACACGUANUCAACAUGCCCAGGGGACGUGGAUAAUCUCGGGAAACUGAGAAUAAACCACNAUAGGUCACGAUUUCUGGAAUGGAUCAUGGCUUAAAUCUACNUGGCCCCUGGAUUGGACUGCGGCCGAUCAGGCUGUUGGUGAGGUAAUGGCCCACCAAACCUAUAACCGGUACGGGCCCUGAGAGGAGAAGCCCGGAGAUGGGCACUGANACAAGGGCCCAGGCCCUAUGGGGCGCAAUCAGGCGCGAAACCUCUGCAAUAGGCGAAAGCCUGACAGGGUUACUCUGAGUGAUUUCCGCUAAGGGGAUCUUUUGGCACCUCUAAAAAUGGUGCAGAAUAAGGGGUGGGCAAGGUCUGGUGUCAGCCGCCGCGGGUAAUACCAGCACCCCGAGCGGUCGGGGACGAUUAUUGGGCCUAAAGCAUCCGUAACCGGUUCUGCANUCUUCCGUUAAAUCCCACCGCUUCAACGGANGGGCCGCGGAGGAUNCUACAGGACUNGGAGGCCGGAAAAGCAACGGNACUCNNGGGUAGGGGUAAAUNCUUGAUCNNUNNANACNNCCAAGGGGAANNCGCUGNCAAAACNCCUCNACGNUAAGGAUNAACNUGGGGAC
rnacentral:rRNA from 1 species